rnacentral:rRNA from 1 species
UACGUAGGGGGCGAGCGUUGUCCGGAUUUAUUGGGCGUAAAGAGCUCGUAGGCGGUUCGAUAAGUCGGACGUGAAAUCUCCACGCUCAACGUGGAGGGGCCGUUCGAUACUGUCGUGACUCGAGUCCGGUAGGGGAGUGUGGAAUUCCCGGUGUAGCGGUGAAAUGCGCAGAGAUCGGGAGGAACACCCGUGGCGAAGGCGGCUCCCUGGUCCGUUUCUGACGCUGAGACGCGAAAGCGCGGGGAGCGAACGGG